UACUCAGAUUGGUAUGAGUCACUUCCUAAAACAUGUUACUCCAUUCAUUCUGAGUAGA
rnacentral:pre_miRNA from 1 species